UCCCCACAGAAGCUUCAGGCAGUACCAUUCCUUAGCUGGAAGGAACUCCAGCCCUUCACAUCACUAUUGUGAAAGCUGGGCCCAGAGCGGGGAGGCAGCGUCCCAAGAUCACACGGUGAGUUAGUCACCAGCGAAAAUCACAUUUUCCUCCUCGCACACCACACCCUCUUUUUCCAGGAAAAUUCCAGUCUCCUUUGGAAGAAUGACAAUGCUACAGAAAAGCACAUGGAUUUGCAGCUUCAUGGACAUCCCGUGUGAGGGUGACAGCUCUUUACUCUCAAUGGAGGAAAGUGAAGCCAGGCUUACUGAGAAAAAAAACAACCCUCAGAAAUCAAAAUCAGACAGCUAUGCCCGGUCUGGCUGCCCUGGAGCGGGAAGACCCGAACCUUGGCAGGGCUGCCUGCUGUGCUGACCCGCCUGAUAUCACGAAGAGAAGUGAUUUUCCGAUCCUGCAUCCGGUACAGCUGUGCGGACUCUGCUCUUCCUACCAUUCCACCACGAAAUUAAAAAGCAAUUUUCUUUUGAA